rnacentral:rRNA from 1 species
UACGUAGGGGGGCAAGCGUUGUCCGGAAUCAUUGGGCGUAAAGCGCGUGUAGGCGGCUCGGUAAGUCUGCUGUGAAAGUCCAGGGCUCAACCCUGGGAUGCCGGUGGAUACUGUCGAGCUCGAGUCCGGAAGAGGCGAGUGGAAUUCCUGGUGUAGCGGUGGAAAUGCGCAGAUAUCAGGAGGAACACCAAUAGCGAAGGCAGCUCGCUGGGACGUACUGACGCUGAGGACGAGAACGU